rnacentral:rRNA from 1 species
UACGUAGGGGGCAAGCGUUGUCCGGAUUUAUUGGGCGUAAAGAGCGUGUAGGCGGCCCAGGUAGGUCCGCUGUGAAAACUCGAGGCUCAACCUCGAGAUGUCGGCGGAAACCAUCUGGCUAGAGUCCGGAAGAGGAGAGUGGAAUUCCUGGUGUAGCGGUGAAAUGCGCAGAUAUCAGGAAGAACACCCGUGGCGAAGGCGGGUCUCUGGGCCGGAUACUGACGCUGAGGAGCGAAAGCGUGGGGAGCGAACAGG